GCUUUUACGAGUUGGGCGCAAAGAGCACUCGACGCGUUCACGGAAAGGCGAUCAUAACAGUUCGAUCGAGGACGCCAACGGUGCCGCCUCCUGCGGCCGCCGUGUCUUCUUCCCCUUCUUAGUCCGCGGCGCCCAUGGCUGUCGUGUACGCGCGCCGCGAUGGGCGCACCGCGCUUGAGCUGCGCGGUAAGGAGAUGAGGCUUUCGGACAUGACCGCGUUCGACGGCAGCAGCUGGUACGCGCAGGGGCAGACGGCGGUGAUGGCGUCGAUUCACGGGCCAACAGUAGCCAAGAAUGAUGAGUACGACACGUGCAUCGUGCAGGUGCGCGUCCAGCACGCUGGCGUGCUCGCCCCAGCCGCAGGUGGUGCGGAGAAGGUACUGUACGAGGAGAGGAAGCUGGAGGUGCUCACUCGCACAGACGCGCUGGCGCUGGGGUCGUUGCUGGAGUCCACCCUCAACGCUGUCUUCAUUCGCGAGCGCUUCCCGCGAUGCGUGCUCGUGGUGGACGUCGUUGUCGUCCGGGACGACGGCAGUCUGCCUGCCGUUGCGCUGAACGCUGUCAUGUCCGCGCUCCUGGAUGCCGGCCUGCCGUGUCGCACGACGAUGGCGGCGGUGUGUGUUGCAGUUGUGACGCACGACGGUGGGGCAGACUCGACCAGCGGCCCUACCCAAGACCGCCAUUCUUCCGUCGACGGCUCCUCAUCAGCAGGCAGUGUCUACGAGUACUUGCUGGAUCCAACUAGCGCUGAGGAAUCCCUCGGGGUAGGCUACGCCGCCCCGGCCCCGUCUGCAGCCGAGAAGGCGGUUGUCACCGGCGCCAGCUCCGUCGCGACGUCCUCGGCCGUGCCCAUGCCACUACGAGGCCGCAACGCAGCGCAGUCGGUGCAAGACCAGCAUCGCUGCGUGAGCAUCGGCGUCUUUGCUUUCUCGAACCCGGCGUGCGGAGGAGGCUUGCUGGCGCAGCUGGUGCGUUCUGUCGGGAGCGGCAGCGCGGGGAUGCGCGGGCCGGGGGUGCCCGUGCAGGCGUAUGCGGAGAUGGUGGCGUUGGCGGAGCGGGCCUCCGCGGUGCUGUUCGAGUUCUUUCGGCAGUGUAACGUGGCGGAGUGAAGAGAAGGGGAAAGAGAGAGAGUGGCGGGUGGUCGUCGUGGUCGGUAUGAGGCGCACUCCUGCGAGAGGGAAGGAUGGAUAUCACGGAGGGGCAUCGGAAGGCCUCACCCUCCCCUCCUCGUGCGUGCGUGCGCCGGUUGGCCAUGAUGGCUUCGCUUCAGCACAAGCGGAGAUCAAGACGGAUGCCUCCGCCCUCACCCCUCCUCACCAGUCUCUUUUCUCCUUACAUGCAGACGCAUGCGCUGCGGGCGUCUUUAACACCUGAUUAAAAAAGGGUCAUCAUUGUCAGCAGGAGCGCUGACGCGGAUACAUGGGCUGUACACUUGGAAGGGCAUCGAUACACCGUCAGCGGUGGAUGUCGGUGUGCGUGGGGUUGGCGAGGGCGACUGAGCGUGCGCGAGCGCGCGCACAGGGGGGGGGUGAUCAUCGCAUCGCUUAAGUGUCCAGAGGGCGUUGAGUAUGGUGGAUGCAAUCGGCGGUCCGAAGGAGACGGCGGGUGGUGAUGGCAGUGGUGAUGAGCAGCAUACUCCUGCCCAGCCUAGCGAGGAGGACGCACCCCACCGUCCCUCAGCUGCCGCCCUCUCUUCGUCCG
rnacentral:misc_RNA from 1 species